CGGGAUGUAAUUCAGAGGUCUAGAAGUCAUGUUUUGGGAACAUGAAGUCGUUGGUUCAAAUCCAACCAUCCCGA
rnacentral:tRNA from 1 species